GCGCCCGUAGCUCAGUCGGAUAGAGCACCAGAUUCCUAAUCUGGGGGUCGAAGGUUCGAAUCCUGUCGGGCGCACCA
rnacentral:tRNA from 1 species